GGAAUGGCUUCAGGGUAGCGAGUGGAAGCGCACAUUAAGGAAUUGGAUGGAGCGGAGCAUUUGGUAUGGUCUGGUUAGGCUUUCAAGCCAUCUGACAUAUGUGGCAACUGCAGCAGAAUUUAACCACAUCUGUUUUUAAUCCAGGCCAGUAAAAGUGUUUCAAAAUCA